GUGCCAGCAGCCGCGGUAAUACGUAGGCAGCAAGCGUUGUUCGGAGUUACUGGGCGUAAAGAGUGCGUAGGCGGUCCUUUAAGUUCGGUGUGAAAUCUCCCGGCUCAACUGGGAGGGUGCGCCGGAAACUGGAGGGCUCGAGUAUGGGAGAGGAAAGCGGAAUUCCUGGUGUAGCGGUGAAAUGCGUAGAUAUCAGGAGGAACACCUGCGGUGUAGACGGCUUUCUGGACCAUGACUGACGCUGAGGCACGAAAGCGUGGGGAGCAAACAGGAUUAGAAACCCCAGUAGUCC
rnacentral:rRNA from 1 species